ACUGGAUAUCAGGUUUGAUGUUUCUCCAUGCAUUUAAAUGAACAAAUAGAAGUAUAGGAAUACUAAUAGAACUAAAAAAGGAAUAAAUAUUUACAGAGCUCUGUCAACUCAUACAAGUUUUGAGACGUGGAUUUAGCUCUUGUGCAUUCAGUCUCCUCUGAAACUUGAGAAAUGAGUUUUAUGAUGUACAAACAGUAAAAUGUCAAGAAAACAAAAAGAAAUUACAGCAGAAAGUGCAACUGAAAAGACUGAAAUGCAGAGAAAAGAAACUGCACUGAGAAAUGAAGUCAAACUUGCACAGCAGGAAAAACCAACAAAGGGAGGAAAAGAAAAUGCCUGUGGAUCCAGAGAACAUCUAAAAGUGCACAAGCUGAACAGCAUUGAAAUAUUUCAACCAAAUUUUUCUCUUAAUCAAGAAAGCCCUGCGUGUCUUUCUGAUGCGACAGAAAAAUUCAAAGAUGAGAAAGCUGCAGUUGAUCUAACUGGCAGAAUGCUCUUCAAAUCACUUUCAGUCAAUGAUUCAGAAUGAGAUUGGAAUACAAAAUGUUUUUUGUUUGUUUUUUACCUGUAGAUUAUUUAUCUACUGUCAUAAAUGAGGUCAAGUGUCUUGUUCAAGUGCACAAUGAUCACUGUUUUUGAGCUGCUUGAACCAAAAGAUCACCAGAGAUUUUGUGUCUGUAUUAUUUUUACUGAAAGAUUCUUUGUGAAAGUGUUAGUGUCUAUACCUGAACAAGUGCCUAUGUUUUAGUCAUUCUGCCCAUGGUAGAAUUUAUUGCAAUACUUCAGUGUUUUUUGUUUUGUUUAUUGUUGAUGUUGGUUUUGCACUGCAGCAGUGCGCAAUAAACAUUAUACGACAAAUGUGUCCUAGCCUGUCACAAA
rnacentral:lncRNA from 1 species